rnacentral:lncRNA from 1 species
CAAAGAACUAAAUCUAAAGCUCUACAUUAAGUGUUGCAUUGUGAGCUUGGAUAAAUGCUCUGCUUCUGCUUCUGUGAGCUGGGCUGCAGUACACACUGACAAGGCGAGCACACUGAAGGAGAAGUCUGCCACUGCAGAGAACGGAUCUGUCCACACUGAUUCAGUCAAAGCUGAGCCACAGGUGUCUGCUGACGAGGAAGAAAGCUGAGAAGACCGGAAGAGGAGGAUAAGAGGGAGCUAGAGUUUCCUCAUGACCUGCUGCCC